AAAGCAUAUAAAAUACUCUUGGUGUUAGUAAUAUAUUAUAGUCUAUAUUGUGUGUGCAUUUAUUGACAUUUUGUUGUGUUUUCUCUUUGUACUUAUCUAAUUUAUACGUGUAUGAUAUAUUUAAGAUAAACAUACAUACAUAUACACUAUAAGAAAGAUAAGUACAACAAAAAAAAAAAACACACAAUAAAAUGUCAAUAAUGGUGGUGGUAUAUGUAUAGUCAAUAAUAGACAAACACUACGUACAGAUAUAUAUAGUAAUUAAAAAAUAUGUGUAUACAUAAUUUAGGGCAAGCCAACCAAGUCAUAAAUAUUAGGUUGGACUCAAAAUUCUAUAAAUAGGACAUCUAGAUCUCUCUAAUUCUCAAAAUCAUAAUCUGCCUAUAUAUAUACAUAUAUAGUUUACUCAUCAUAUUGCAAGAGAUCAGAAACUCAGCUAGCAAAAGAUAUGAGUUGUGAAGGGAAGACAUCAUGGCCUGAGCUGGUAGGAGUGGAAGGUGAGGUUGCUAAAGAGACUAUUGAGCGAGAAAAUUCUGCAGUGAAUGCCAUUGUUGUGGCAGAGGAUGCCCAAGGUGACACUCAAUUUCGUUGUGACCGGGUUCGUGUUCGUGUUAAUGAAAAUGGAAUUGUUACUAGGACUCCUCAAAUUGGUUAACAAGCCACCAAUUUCCAUUGAUUGCCAUAUCUAAAGGCUAAACCUAUUUAAUUCUAUUGUUAAGUGUAUUUAAGUACAAUCUCUAUGUAUCACUAGUAGAAAUAAAAAAAAAAUGGGAUUGUGUAUGUUUUCCCUUUUAUAUAUUAUAUCAAUAAAAAUGAAAGGUAUAUAAAUUUGAGUAUAA